GCAGCGACGCCGCGUGAAGGAAGAAGUAUCUCGGUAUGUAAACUUCUAUCAGCAGGGAAGAAAAUGACGGUACCUGACUAAGAAGCCCCGGCUAACUACGUGCCAGCAGCCGCGGUAAUACGUAGGGGGCAAGCGUUAUCCGGAUUUACUGGGUGUAAAGGGAGCGUAGACGGAAGAGCAAGUCUGAUGUGAAAGGCUGGGGCUUAACCCCAGGACUGCAUUGGAAACUGUUUUUCUAGAGUGCCGGAGAGGUAAGCGGAAUUCCUAGUGUAGCGGUGAAAUGCGUAGAUAUUAGGAGGAACACCAGUGGCGAAGGCGGCUUACUGGACGGUAACUGACGUUGAGGCUCGAAAGCGUGGGGAGCAAACAGGAUUAGAUACCCUGGUAGUCCACGCCGUAAAC
rnacentral:rRNA from 1 species